AAGCGCUUGCGGUCAGACUUGGCCGCCGUUGCUCGGCGGGACCUGUGUCCCGUUUGCUCUUCGGCGGUCAGGCCAGCAUCGACUUGGGCGGCUGGAUAAAGACCGCGGGAAAGUGGCUCUUCGGAGUGUUAUAGCCCGCGGUGGAAUGCAGCCUGCCUGGGUCGAGGUCUGCGCAUCUGCUAGGAUGCUGGCGUAAUGGCCCCAAGCGG
rnacentral:rRNA from 1 species